GCACAAGCGGUGGAGCAUGUGGUUUAAUUCGACGCAACGCGAAGAACCUUACCCAGGCUCGAACGGCAUCUGACAUCCUACGAAAGUAGGCUCCCGCAAGGGCAGGUGUCGAGGUGCUGCAUGGCUGUCGUCAGCUCGUGUCGUGAGAUGUUGGGUUAAGUCCCGCAACGAGCGCAACCCUUGUCUUCUGUUGCCAUCAGGUCAAGCUGGGCACUCUGAAGAGACUGCCGGUGACAAACCGGAGGAAGGUGGGGAUGACGUCAAGUCAGCAUGGCCUUUAUGUCUGGGACCACACACGUGCUACAAUGGCAGGUACAAACCGUCGCGAGACCGCAAGGUGGAGCUAAUCGGAGAAAGCCUGUCUCAGUUCGGAUUGUAGGCUGCAACUCGCCUGCAUGAAGUUGGAAUCGCUAGUAAUCGCGGAUCAGCACGCCGCGGUGAAUACGUUCCCGGGC
rnacentral:rRNA from 1 species